UCACUGGAGGACUAGUGGUUAGGCCACAGCUCUCUCACCGCUGUGGCCCGGGCUCAAUUCCCGGCCAGGGAA
rnacentral:tRNA from 1 species